GUACUUUCUAGAAGCUUUCAGCACGAGGCCGCUGAGGUAACGCGGGGGCGGGAAGCGUGCUCUCUCCGCGGGGGACAAGCGCGGUCCAGGCUUAGGAUUUUCCUUGUGAAAUGGCGUCUGCGUACCUCUGGAAGGCUGUAAGGGGGCUGAGAGUUGUAUUCCAUCGAAACCAGUGGAAAUAAAAUGUCUGUGAUACGUAUGCUGCAGGUAUCCUUAAAAUGCCAUCACUGCAUCUUUGAUGAAGAUGGGAAGCAGGAAGCAAAAACUGCAUUUAGAUAUAAUCCAACUGGAAUGUUUUGGAUCACAUCCUCCAGCUGCUAUUGCUUUGGUGCCUAUUGUGGUGAUCAUAGCUACAAACGCUAGUGAGAGAGGAGAAACAAUAUCAUUCUCACAGCACAGUUUCUGCAUAGCAUGGAAAAUAUAAUGUGGAAAUGGACAUCGACAUAGAUAAACCCCAUGGCUGCUGAUUUUCCUUCUCUUCAAUAUAGCUGAAGAAAGAUCAACUAGCCUAACAAAGAAAGCAUUUUGUUUUUAAUGUGACUGUCUUGGUCUGUCAACUAAUAAGGAGAAAAAAAGUAAGCUGUGAUCAACUUUGAAAUAGCUCAACUUUCAUCUUGCUUUAGUCUUCAAAUUGCUAUGGAUUCAGUGCCUUUCUUUGAAAGGUGAAAACUACUCAUCUGGAUCACAAGACGACUUGGGUUUUUGGAACUGGGAUAAUCUUGUGCAGCUGAAGAUGUUUGUGAGGCAAUUUGCUUCAAAAGAUCUGGCUAGAAGUAUGGUCACUGUGUGUCAGGAGCAAAAUAGGGUCACAGCUGGAACCACUGAUGGAGCACCUGGUGAAGGGGCGUAGCCAGCUCUGGGACACAGGUGGAAGCAAUCCCUCCUAAUCUCAUACAAUGGCUGGCAGCUGCAAAGGAAAAAAUCUCUACUUCGAGAUCGUCUCAUUUGGAGUGUUUGGUGGAUCUUGAUCCUUGGAAUGGGAUAUGUUGGUGCCAGAGGUUUUACAGUUCUCUUAGCUCCAUGUUGGUUUUUGGUCUCCCAUGAGGGUGGUGCCAUCUUUGUGACUGGGGAACCUGAGAGCAACAGGAAUGGUGUGGCAGGAGUAAGGAAAAGGUUUCACCUGGCGGCAGGUGCUGGAGAGAAACUGGAGGACUGCUGCAACUGGAGUUGGAGGUACAAUCACGUUUCAGAUGGAUUUCCUGCACCAAGUGCUGUGCCCAGAAGUGAGGUUUCCAAGGUUGACAUGUUAACCUGCUGUCAUUUUGCUCAGUACCUCAGAGGGCAGGCACAGGAGUCAAGAAGCAUCUUUUGGGUGCUGCUGGGAAUGUCCCAUGGGGCAUGGGCUCUGCAUGGAUGGACCAAUGCUCAUCCGGGGAAGGAUGGCUGCUGCAAGAGCUCAGGCUGCAGGGGAGACAAAGCGCUCCUCCGUGUACGUGUUUACCCUGAAGGAAAGACCACCAUUUGAAAAUGCUCUGAAGAAUCAUUUUGCUGCUCUUUCAUUUCUGGUGGAGGCAUCUCCUUCUGACAUCUUCAUGAGAAAUCGUGGAUGCAUCUUCAUGGUGCCAAGGGCAUUCCAGCACUUUUUGUUUAAAAACAGCAUUACCUUCUGAAUCAAGUUCUUCUAUUUAUAUUAUGCACAAGGGUAAUGGCAGCUUUGAUGUAUACGUCCUAAGCCGCCUUGUCUGAAGACAGUCUGCUAGCAAUGCUUAAGGAUGACGGUGUUCCAUUACCUGCUCUUUGAAGCAGCAGAGGUACCACAGAAUGGCUGUUAUUGAAAAUUUUCCUUGAUUAUUAUUUUUACUGCCAGACUUUUAAACCAUACAAUAUCAGCUUUCUUUCGACUUUGCUUCUUAGUUCCUUCUAUGGUAAAGCUUAAUACAGUGAACAUAUGGAACAGCUGAAAGGCUGCCAAAGGUUUAAAUGACAAGGUUAUAAAUACAGAGACAGCAUGUUUUCUUUCCCCCCUGAAUGUAUAGUUCUGUUGGUUUGAGCCAAAGCAGACAAUAAAUCAGAACGU
ensembl:lncRNA